rnacentral:rRNA from 1 species
GACGAACGCUGGCGGCGUUCCUAAUACAUGCAAGUCGAACGCAGUGGGGACGGGUGAGUAACCCGUGGGUAACAUCCCAUCAGAGGGGAUAACACUUGGAAACAGGUGCUAAACCGAUACUGAUGGAUGCACCCGCGGUGCAUUAGCUAGUUGGUGAGGUAACGGCUCACCAAGGCCACGAUGCAUAGUCGACCCGAGAGGGGUAGUGGCCCAAUCGGGACUGAUGACAGGGCCAGACUCCGACGGGAUGGAGCAGUAUGGAAUUUUCGGCAAUGGACCAAAGUCCGACCCAGCAACGCCGGUGGAGUUAAGAAGGUUUUCGGAUCGUAAAACUUUGUUGUUAGAGAAGAGGUAUCUAACCAGAAAGCCAACGCUAACUACGUUCCAGCAGCCGCGGUAAUAC